CCGAAGGCAGAUGCUUAACUGACUGAGCCACCCAUAAGCCCCUGCGGAUUUAUUAUUUAGUGUUUUUUAUCACAGAUGCUAAAUUGGUACAUUCUACUUCUCCCCUUUUUUAGAUUCACUGUUCAGGUUCAAGUCUUCCUUAUCCAGCUCAGGCUGUCUAAUUGAAUUUUCUGUAAUGAUGGAAAUACCUGCCUAGUACAAUAGCCACUAACCAUUUGUAGCUACAGAACACCUGAAAUACGGCUAAUGUAACUCAGGAACUGAAUUUUUAAUUGUUAAUUAAAUAGCCAAUGUGGCUUGUGGCUGCCAUAUUGGGCAGUGCAGAGCUAGACAGUAUUUUUGGGAGAAUGCGCUCUGAAGGGAAGAAUGAUAAGGUGGUAUCUAAAGAGGAAUUCAGACAUCUAUAAGUAAUACAUUAUCAUUUGAAACUCUUUAUGCGUGUUUUAUGUAAAAUUGUGAAAUAUACCCUGUUAUGGUUCAUUAUUAUGAAAAAUAACCUCUUUAAUCCCAAAUAAUAGAAUGGGUUUAGUUUAUGCAUAUCCUUUACCACUUUGUAUGUUCAGCAAAUAGUUACUGAUUUGAUCCUUUAUUCAGGUUUUGAAAUAACUAGUGUGUCUGUACUUCAUUGUGAAUUUUAAUGUUAAAUUUUUAAUAGUUUUCAUUUUAGGGUAAUUCUGUUGAGUGAAAAGGUAGUUAAUUUUUGGAAGACAUCUAUUUAUAAAUAUGAGAAAUGAGAUUGAAUUGGUCUUGGUUUUUAUUUAUAUGCCUGUAUUGCUUAUUGUGUGCAAAGUAUGUGCUUUGUAUACAUUACUCUUGAUCUUAACAAAGACUGUGGGGUGUAGGUACUUGAUUCUCUUCAUUUGAUAGAUCAGAAAACUAAGGUACAAAGAAAUUAGGUCUUUACCUACGGCUAGCUACACAGUAGUUAAUAGGGUUGGGAUUUGAACUCAAGCAGAUUUGAGUCUAGUGUGUAGAUUCUUCAUGAUUAUACUGUUCUACUUCCUAAGUCAUCGCACUAAUUGUUUCUGUUAUACUUCCAGUUUUAUAUAGACCCAUAUAAACUGCUACCACUGCAGAGGUUUUUACCUCGACCUCCAGGUGAGAAGGGACCUCCAAGAGGUGGUGGCAGGGGAGGUCGAGGAGGAGGAAGAGGCGGAGGUGGCCGAGGUGGUAGAGGUGGUGGUUUCAGAGGUGGAAGAGGAGGUGGAGGUGGAGGCUUCAGAGGAGGAAGGGGUGGUGGUGGUUUCAGAGGGAGAGGACAUUAAGUGUAACAGUUGACAGAGAAACUUCCUGCAUGAUCUACUUCUGUGGAUAAGAAACUUGUUUCUUGAGCAAGUCUUGAAGAACUGGUCAUUUUCUGACAGUGGGACUGGGACUAAAAUGACAAUGCCAUGCAAAAAUGAGUGCAACAGAAUAGGCAAUUUUGCUCUAAAAGAGUAUGAACAAAUGUUUUAAUGUUUUGUACAAUGCUUGGAACUUUGUGGGUGCUUAAUAAAUGGGCAGUUUUCAUUUGAAGCAUACUUGGAAUUUUUAAAAUAAAAUGUUUUAUUUCUUUAAGUUA